rnacentral:rRNA from 1 species
UUUACGGGAGGCAGCAGUGGGGAAUAUUGGACAAUGGGCGAAAGCCUGAUCCAGCGAUGCCGCGUGAGUGAUGAAGGCCUUAGGGUUGUAAAGCUCUUUUACCCGGGAUGAUAAUGACAGUACCGGGAGAAUAAGCUCCGGCUAACUCCGUGCCAGCAGCCGCGGUAAU